rnacentral:tRNA from 1 species
AACCUAAAAUAAUUAUAUUUAUAUCUAUGAUACCACAAAUCAUAAUUUUUAUUUAAACUAUUUAAGU